rfam:Schistosoma rodhaini strain Burundi genome assembly, scaffold: SROB_scaffold0000500
AUUCAACUGACGAGUCCCAAAUAGGACGAAACGCGCGUCCUGGAU